ensembl:snRNA U6 U6 spliceosomal RNA
GUGCUCAGUUUCAGCAUCAUAUACACUAAAGUUGGAACAAUAUAGAGAUUAGCAUGAAGCCUCUGCAAAAAUGACAUGCAAAUUUGCUAAGCAUUCCAUAUUUUC